rnacentral:SRP_RNA from 1 species
CAAGGCCGCUCGCGCGGCGUUACCUCGCCAAACCCCCCCAGGGUCGAAAGACAGCAAGGGUAAGUGAGCUCUGUCGGGUGCGCGAGCGGCCCCCUAU